rnacentral:rRNA from 1 species
UACGUAGGUGGCGAGCGUUGUCCGGAUUUACUGGGCGUAAAGGGCGUGCAGGCGGUUUGUUAAGUGCAGCGUGAAAGCUCCCGGCUCAACUGGGAGAGGUCUUUGCAUACUGGCAAACUCGAGGGAGGCAGAGGAAAGUGGAACUCCCGGUGUAGUGGUGAUAUGCGUAGAUAUCGGGAGGAACACCUGUGGCGAAGGCGGCUUUCUGGGCCUUACCUGACGCUGAGACGCGAAAGCGUGGGGAGCGAACCGG